GGGCGUAACCGUGACUGGCGUAGGUGGGAUACCACCGGGGAACAAGUGGUCAAUCAGUCGCUCGCCUGGGCUGAUUUG
rfam:Varibaculum cambriense DORA_20 Q618_VCMC00001, whole genome shotgun sequence.